rnacentral:rRNA from 1 species
AUUGCCUCAGUAACGGCGAGUGAGCGGCAAAAGCUCAAAUUUGAAAUCUAGCACUUUCAGUGUUCGAGUUGUAAUUUGAAGAAGGUAACUUUGGUUUUGGCUCUUGUCUAUGUUCCUUGGAACAGGACGUCACAGAGGGUGAGAAUCCCGUGCGAUGAGAUGCCCAAUUCCAUGUAAAGUGCUUUCGAAGAGUCGAGUUGUUUGGGAAUGCAGCUCUAAGUGGGUGGUAAAUUCCAUCUAAAGCUAAAUAUUGGCGAGAGACCGAUAGCGAACAAGUACAGUGAUGGAAAGAUGAAAAGAACUUUGAAAAGAGAGUGAAAAAGUACGUGAAAUUGUUGAAAGGGAAGGGCUUGAGAUCAGACUUGGUAUUUUGCGUUCCCUUCCUUUUUGGUUGGGUUCCUCGCAGUUUACUGGGCCAGCAUCGGUUUGGAUGGUAGGAUAAUGACAUUGGAAUGUAGCUUUACUUCGGUGAAGUGUUAUAGACUUUGUUGAUACUGCCUAUCUAGACCGAGGACUGCGUCUUUGACUAGGAUGCUGGCGUAAUGAUCUUAAGCCGCCCGUCUUGAA